AAUCAUUAAGGUUGGAAAACCUCUAGGACCAUUUAGUCCAACCACCAACUCAUCCUCAUCAUACCCACUAGCUAUGUCCCUCAGUGCCACAUCUACAUGAUUCUUUAACACCUCCUGGGACAGUGCCUUCCUGGGCAGCCUGUUCCAAUGCUUUACCACUCUUUCUGGGGAGAAGUUCUUCCUAAUAUCCAUCCUGAAUCUCCCCUGGUGCAACUUGAGGCCAUUCUCUCUCAUCCUAUUGCUGUUGUCUGGAAGAAGAGGCUGACCCCCACCUUGCCAUGACCUCCUUUCAGGGAGUUGUAGAGAGCAAUAAGGCUCUCUCCUGAGCCUCCUCUUCUCCAGUCUAAACAAUCCCAGUUUCCUCAGCCACUCCCCAUAAGACCUGUAUUCACUGAGCAGCUGAUCCUUUUCCUUCCCUGAUUUCCAAAAAAAUAUUGAGAGACUGACUUGAGCUCCCAGAAUGACCACUGAUGGAAAAGUGAGACCCUGGCAGCAGCGGGGCUGGGAAGCUGAUGUCAAAUUCUCAUGACAAACCAGGACCUGGAAAAGUGCUGAGUGCCAGGGGAAUGGCUGAACUUGAAAAUAAAAGGCUAUCUGGAAAUACACAAGCUGAGUUACGUAAGGAUUGUAUUGCAAAUGGAAUUUACAAUGUAAUGGCUCACCUCUGCACGAGAGUGAGCCUUGUCAUGUGCAAGCAUAUGUUACAGGGGAAUCCACUGGGCUGUUGAUGGAAAGCAAAUAUUAUGUGACCCUGAAUCUCACUUGAUAUUUUAAACCAUAAUAGUUUCAGAUUUGAGUCACAAUAAGUAGGAUAUAUAUAUAUGUUUGUAUAUAGAAGCUUUUAAGCUCUGAGCAAGGCUUCUGCCUUGGCAAUAUUUUCACCUCAAAUUGCACAUUUGGUCCUCUAUUCUCAUAAAUAAUUGUAGCUUCAAUCCAAAGUCAGAAAUCAGAUGAGAGGCUUCCGAACUUUGACAAGAAAUCCAAUUACAAUGACAAUCUGCAAUUGCAAUUAGAAUCUUCUCUUUUCUACUCUGGCCACUUUGAGCUCCAGUUUCAUCCACCCAUGUUACACCUUGCUUCUUCACAGGGCUUGCUGCAUAGAGGUGACAUCAGGAUUGGUCCGAUGCCUUAUUUGCCCCUUUGGAGCUUUCAAUAGGAACAGAUAUGUUCUUAGCAUUGCAUGGAGAACACCCUCAGCCCAGGGUCUUCUUUGGAACACUCCUCUGUCAGAGCAAGAGCUGGAGAGGAUGGCACAUGAGAGGCACACAUGGGGAAACAUCUGUUUUCUUUUUUUAAUUCAACACUUUGACCUGAAACACUGAGGCGAGCUGUGCAAAGAGCUGCUUGCAAGGUAGGAGGAGAGGCUCUACUUAAGAGAAAAUCUGCCACAGUCUACAAAACAAUCCCACCACAAAAUAAAAUUAAAAGUAAUGAGAUUUUCCACUGUUAACUUAAUAGCAGCAAACCACAUGUUCUAAACAAUGUUUUUUUAAUUUUUUUAUUUUUUUAUUUUUAUUUUUUUGGUGUGAGGACUCAUUUUUAGUAACAAACCCCAGACUAUUAGCCCUGCCAUUUUUCCACUGCUGGAGGAAAACCUGGACUCUUGCUGAAUUUGUAUGGUGAAUAUCUCAGAGAUAUUUGAAUCUGCCACCAGUAAAAGGCCUUUAAAUGUGCUCGCAUGGAGGAACCAGCUCAAGGUAAAGGAAAUGGAAAAAAUGGGAAAAAGAAGAGACCUCUCUUUGGAUCUUUAGCUGUGUUAUUUUUUUAGAUUAUAUUUCUUCUGAGCUCCCAAAAUCUUCAGUAACAAACAAGUUUUCUUUUAAAAAGUAUUAAGUUAUCAUAACAUUUGCCAGGUCCUAAUAUUAAAUCGUAGCAGUCAGCAAUGUUUAAGUUCAGCUAUAUCAUUUUGCUGAGUAAGUCAUGUUAAAACUUACAGUUUUCCCCUUAAAAUGAUCUUUCCAAAUGAGAUUGAUAUUGUGAGAAAAAAAGAAAAAAGAGAGGGACGCCUUCAUCAUAAGGAAUUAUGGAAUUAAUUUUCUUUAUACACUGUGUUUGCACAGGACAUUUUUGUUAACUCUUAAUAAAAAUACCAUUCAGCUGCUACUUUCAUUGUUUUUAUCCUGGGACCAAUACAACAUUGUCAUUAUUGGAUAUAAAGUGCUGUAAAAACAAAUCUAAUUUGUUAAGUUUAUUUUGAUAAGAAAUAAAUAUAAAGGUAGUGCAUAGUUUGUAUAGUGCUGCUAUCAUAGGACUCCUGGGUAUAAUUUAUAUAAAGAAAAUAAAAAAGCAUACAUAA